rnacentral:sRNA from 1 species
GCCAGGCAUGGUGGCACAUGCCUGUAAUCCCAGCUACUCGGGAGGCUGAGGCAGGUGAAUCACUUGAACCCAGGAGGCAGAGGUUGCAGUGAGCCAAGAUCGUACCACUGCACUCCAGCCUGGGUGACAGAGUGAGACUCUGUCUCAA